rnacentral:rRNA from 1 species
UACGGAGGGUGCAAGCGUUGCUCGGAAUUAUUGGGCGUAAAGGGUAGGUAGGUGGUCUCAUUUGUCUGGGGUGAAAGCCUUGAGCUUAACUCAAGAAGUGCCCCAGAAACGGUGAGACUAGAGUCUUGGAGAGGGUCGUGGAAUUCCCGGUGUAGCGGUGAAAUGCGUAGAGAUCGGGAGGAACACCUGUGGCGAAGGCGGCCGACUGGGCCGACCCUGACGCUGAGGCGCGAAGGCGUGGGGAGCGAACGGG